rnacentral:rRNA from 1 species
UGAGGAAUAUUGGUCAAUGGGCGGGAGCCUGAACCAGCCAAGCCGCGUGAGGGAGGAAGGCCCUAUGGGUCGUAAACCUCUUUUGUCAGGGAACAAAAGCGAGUAUGUAUACUAGUCUGAGUGUACCUGAAGAAAAAGCAUCGGCUAACUCCGUGCCAGCAGCCGCGGUAAUACGGAGGAUGCGAGCGUUAUCCGGAUUUAUUGGGUUUAAAGGGUGCGUAGGCGGCGGUGCAAGUCAGCGGUAAAAGCCCGGGGGCUCAACCCCGGCGAGCCGUUGAAACUGCAGUGCUAGAGAAGGCGAGAGGUACGCGGAAUGCGCAGUGUAGCGGUGAAAUGCUUAGAUAUUGCGCAGAACUCCGAUUGCGAAGGCAGCGUACUGGCGCCUGACUGACGCUGAGGCACAAAAUGCGUGGGGAUCGAACAGGAUUAGAUACC